rnacentral:lncRNA from 1 species
AUAAAAUAAGAAAAGUAUGCCGGUACUUUCUGUGUGUUGUCGGAGUAAUUGGCCACAAAAAGAUUCACUCAAAUUUAUUAAAAUCUAAAAAUAAAAAAAGUCUGUUAAAAAAUUUGUUAAUAAAAGCAAACAAAAACACAAAAACCGUAUUUAACACUUGGAAAAUGCUAAACAGUGCCCCCGGGGCACUAGUUAAGGAUACAAAUAUAGAAGUUUUAUCUCGUAAAUUGUGCAUUUAAUGUUUUAAUGAUGUGAAAAGUUAUUCUCUCUCAUCAAUAACUUUAUCAUUUAUUUCCUUUUUUAGUAUGCUUAACUAGUGCCCCAGGGGCACUGUUUAGCAUGACCCUUAACACUUUAAUAAAUGUUCCAUGUUUAUGUUCUUUCUCCCUCACUUCACUUGAAUACAAUACAA